GGGGUCGCGAGAUCUACCAAUUCUAACCAAACUCCGAAUACCCAAGAGAACUAUCUGGCAGACACACGGCGGGUGCUAACGUCCGUCGUGAAAAGGGAAACAACCCUAACCAUCAUCUAAGGCCCCCAAGUUCUGGCUAAGUGGGAAACGAUGUGGGAUUGCUUUUGACAACCAGGAUGUUGGCUUAGAAGCAGCCAUCAUUUAAAGAAAGCGUAACAGCUCACUGGUCAAGCGAUCCUGCGCGGAAAAUGUAACGGGGCUCAAGCCAGACGCCGAAGGUAUGGGUGUGCGUAAGCACGCGGUAGCGGAGCGUUCCGUAAGCCUGUGAAGGUCAGUCGCGAGACUGGCUGGAGGUAUCGGAAGUGAGAAUGCUGACAUGAGUAGCGAUAAAGAGUGUGAGAGACACUCUCGCCGAAAGUCCAAGGGUUCCUGCGUAAAGCUAAUCUGCGCAGGGUUAGCCGGCCCCUAAGGCGAGGCCGAAAGGCGUAGUCGAUGGGAAUCAGGUGAAUAUUCCUGAGCCAGUU
rnacentral:rRNA from 1 species